UAGCGAAGGGGGCUAGCGUUGCUCGGAAUCACUGGGCGUAAAGCGCACGUAGGCGGAUUGGUUAAGUCAGGGGUGAAAUCCUGGAGCUCAACUCCAGAACUGCCUUUGAUACUGGCGAUCUUGAGUUCGGAAGAGGUGAGUGGAACUGCGAGUGUAGAGGUGAAAUUCGUAGAUAUUCGCAAGAACACCAGUGGCGAAGGCGGCUCACUGGCCCGAUACUGACGCUGAGGUGCGAAAAGCGUGGGGAGCAAACAGG
rnacentral:rRNA from 1 species